CGAAUUCUGAUGUUGACUUGGAUGAUUUAGAAAUUUUAGUUAAACGAGAGGGCCUUACUCUUGUUAUUGAUUUUUCGGAUAAACUUGGAUAGGAACUUGCAAAAAGUUAGAGCAAAUAUGUAAUAGUGAAGCUUCUAGGGCAAAGGAUUGGUUAUAGAGCUCUAGCGGCUAAAUUACAACUGCUUUGGCAAUUUGAUAAUCUGAAAAUUCUUGAUC
rnacentral:lncRNA from 1 species